rnacentral:rRNA from 1 species
GAACGCUGGCGGCGUGCUUAACACAUGCAAGUCGAACGAUGAAGCUGUGCUUGCACAGUGGAUUAGUGGCGAACGGGUGAGUAACACGUGAGUAACCUGCCCCCCACUUUGGGAUAACUCCGAGAAAUCGGGGCUAAUACUGGAUACGACUAUGGCCCGCAUGGGUUGUGGUGGAAAGUUUUUCGGUGGGGGAUGGGCUCGCGGCCUAUCAGUUUGUUGGUGAGGUAGUGGCUCACCAAGGCGAUGACGGGUAGCCGGCCUGAGAGGGCGACCGGCCACACUGGGACUGAGACACGGCCCAGACUCCUACGGGAGGCAGCAGUGGGGAAUAUUGCACAAUGGGCGAAAGCCUGAUGCAGCGACGCCGCGUGGGGGAUGACGGCCUUCGGGUUGUAAACCUCUUUCAGCAAGGAAGAAGCGAAAGUGACGGUACUUGCAGAAGAAGCGCCGGCUAACUACGUGCCAGCAGCCGCGGUAA